rnacentral:lncRNA from 10 species
UAUUCUGUAUUUUAUAUACGUAUACCUUUAUCAAGUUAUAAAUGUGUGUGUUUGUUCACCUCCCGAGUAGCUACGACCACAGGUGUGCACCACCAUACCCAGCGAAUUUUUAUUUUUAUUUUUUUUGGACAGUUGAAGUCUCACUAUAUUGCCCAGGCUGGACUGAAACUCCUGGGCUCAAGUGAUCAUCUCACCUUGGCCUCCCAAAGUGCUGAGAUUAUAGGCAUGUACCACUGUGCCCAGCCUUCAUGUCAAUUUAAAAUUGCAAAUCUCCCUGGAGGUUGUGGUCAAACCCUCUUGGGGAGACCAACUGAACAUUUGCAGAGGAUACACAAACUACUCCGUUAAUGCAGAGUUGUGUUGGUCUACUCUCAGUGUAUAGUCUCCCCUCUAUAAAUGGCACUGUCCCAGGGGAAAGCCGAAGUGCUAAGGGUAAUAUAUUCUAACUUCUUUAACAUCCUUAUCCGGCUUUCUACUUUUCAUAAGUUUUGGUAAU